CCUACGGGCGGCAGCAGUAGGGAAUAUUGCUCAAUGGGGGAAACCCUGAAGCAGCAACGCCGCGUGGAGGAUGACGGUUUUAUGAUUGUAAACUCCUUUUGUUAGAGAAGAAAAGUACGGUAUGUAAAGAAUAAGGAACGGCUAACACCGUGCCCGCAGCCGCGGUAAUACGGAGGGUGCAAGCGUUACUCGGAUUGACUGGGCGUAAAGAGGGCGUAGGCGGGAUGGCAGGUCAGAUGUGAAGUCCUACGGCUCAACCGUAGAACUGCAUUUGAAACUGUUAUUCUAGAGUAUGGGAGAGGUAGGUGGAAUUCUUGGUGUAGGGGUCAAAUCCUUAGAGAUCACGAGGAAUACUCAUUGCGAAGGCGACCUGCUAGACCAUAACUGACGCUGAUGCGCGAAAGCGUGGGUAUCAAACAGGAUUAGAUACCCCAGUAGUC
rnacentral:rRNA from 1 species